rnacentral:rRNA from 1 species
AUGCCACCCAGAAUCAAGGUGUUCAUGUGGUUGGCUCUUAGAAAAAGUAUUCUUAUUAAAGAUAAUUUGCUUCGUAGGGGGUGGAAAGGAGAUGAUAAAUGCCCUUUUUGUGGACAUAAAGAAAAUUUAAAUCAUCUUUUUCUGUCCUGUUAAGUUGCUAGAUUAUUGUGGAACAUCUUGAAAUGUGCUUUCAAUCUAAGAGACAUUCCAGAAACUCUGGAUGCAAUUAUGAAAACCUGGGUAAAUACAUUUGGAAAAGAUGAAAAAAGUUUGGUCAUGAUAGGUAUCUCAGUGAUUUGCUCGACUAUUUGGAAGUUAAGAAACGGUAUUAUUUUUGACAACAAUAGGGUGAAUGAUCCCUGUGUGCCUGUUAACCUGUUUCUCAAAAAUUUAAAUGAUUGGAAUAUUUUGCAGAGAAAUCCCGCAAGAAGUAGGAUGAUGGAGGCUGGAGUGAAGCAAGUAAGUGAGGUGGCGGAAGAAGUGUUCAAAGCAGCUCAUGGGUGGCGCCUGAAGACUGGGAGAAUCCAGGGGUGA